rnacentral:snoRNA from 1 species
AUGCAGUGAUGACUAGAAUUUCUUCACCUGAAACAUCAACCAUGAUGUUUUAUUGAGCUUUUUAACCCUGAGCAUU